GAGGGAGAGAGAGCGAGCUAUCUUCCAUCUGCUGGUUUACUCCCCAAAUGGCCACAACAGCCAGACCAAAUCCAGGAGCCAGGAGAUUCCUCUGGGUCUCUCACGUGGGUGCAGGUGCCCAAGAACUCGGACCAUCUGCUGCUGUUUUCCCAGGCGCAUCAGCAGGAAGCUGGCUCAGAAGUGGAAUAGCUGGAAUUCGAACCGGCACCCAUGUGGGAUGCGGGUGUUGCAGGUGGCGGUGGAACCUGUUACGCCACAACACUGGCCCUGAUUUAUUUUCUUUAUAAAUUAGUCUGUGGUGUUCUGGACUAGCACACAAGGUAACACCUCACAGCAGGCUGACAUGGCAAUAUAAGCAGUAAUCUGUAUGCUCAACCUUUUCCUCAAGAUAGUGCUUUCUAUAUUUUUUAACAGUUCUUUCAUCAGCACCAUAACAAUUCUGAUUGCUUGAUAUGUGACAGGGACAAUGAUCAGGAGAAGCAAAAGGUCAGAACAUACCAAGACGCGGUUCUCCCGUGUUAACUGCAGAUGGACGUUCUACUGAGUGCUGCAGAGGAGGGAGCUGAUCAUACAGACCUGACGCCACCUUCAAGAGU